rnacentral:lncRNA from 1 species
GUACAGAGACCACUGCCAGCCCUCUAGGUGGUCCCUGCAAAGAAAGUCCCAGCUCCCAAGGCUCCAAAUGGACAGGGCACCAUGUUGACCCCUUCGUUGGCCUCCAGUUCGCCGACUGUAACAUGUUUCAUCCAGUUCAGGACGUUUAUUUAUUUCCAACUUGCAUACAAAACAUACUGAGAAACUAAAACCAUCGUUAAAAGUGAAGACACGUUGAGACAGGUAUCUCGACCUGCCAAGUAUACAGCUAAAGCUGAGUUCAUAAAAAGGGAUGAUUUGGCCGACGGUCAUCUGCCAGAUUCUGAUGAUGAUUCAGAAGUCAGUGUGGAAGAAGAUCAGAGGGAGAGGCAGGCGCUCUUUGACUUAUCAAGCUGCUCCCUGAGGCCCAAAAGCUUCAAGUGUCAGACUUGUAAAAAGUCAUAUAUAGGGAAGUGGGGACUGGCCCAGCAUUUUAAACUUAAUCCAGGCCAUGGCCAGCUGGACCCUGAGAUGGUGCUAUCUGAGAAAGCCAAUGGGAGCACCCUCCGGGGGUGCACAGAGGAAAGGACGCUCAGCCUGACCUUCCCGAGGCUGUCCGUGCCAGCGGCUCCGCGUGAGGGAGGGGCCCGCUCCUGCUUGGUGAACUGUCACCCCUACAACUCAGCUUGCAACCAGCCCUGGCCACCACCAGUUUCCCCACACUGAGCUGAAUAUUGGACAUGCCCAUCUUAGACAUUCCAGCCCAUUCUGAAAUUCCACAUCGAUUCACCCGACAAAGUCUGAAGUUCCAGGGCAAUUUAUCUGGAAAAGCUCACCUGGAAUCAUGUGUCAUUUCAACCAACAACUGUUGAAGAGGACGUGGCAUCAAAACCAAGGUUAUCAAUUAUUUAUAAGGGUUGUGUGGUGGUUGGUCCAAGCAUCUCUCCUUCAUGCCAUCACUCCUUUCAAGAGCUGCCUCUAUUUUCUAAUUUAGCACAGGAAUUUAGAUGCCCCUAAAUAAGUAGGCAUCCAGUAUCUGCCCACACCAGUUUUAGUGAGAGUACAUAUGGAGACACUACCACCACCCCUGCUCUCCUACUGCAUACCCCACCAUGCCAAAGCAUGGUGGCUCACACCUGUAAUCCCAGUGCUUUGGGAGGCCAAAGAGGAGGAACACUUGAGGCCAGAAGUAUGAGACCAGCCUGGGCAACAUAGUGAGACCUCAUUUCUAUAAAUAAGUUAAAAAAACAAAAAAAUAGGGCAUAGUGGUGCACAUGUGUGGUCCCAGUUACUCAGCAGGCUGAGGCUGGAAGAUCACUUGAGCCCAGGAGUUUGAGGCUGCAGUGAGCUAGGAUUAUGCCACUGCACUCUAGCCUGGGCAACAGAGAGAGACCCCAUCUCUAAAAA